CGAAUAAAGAUAAAACAUCAAGGACUUGUUGAGCAAGCAAGUUCCAUUGACCUCUAACUUUGUUUUAGCAUUGAUUUACUCCAUCAGAAAUUUCGAUACAAUUCCCUUGACUCUUGAUACCUCAGUGCAGGGCAGAGGAUGGAGGAAAAGAGAAAAACUGCUGGUGCAGGACAUCACAUUGAAGACAGGGAGCAAUUAACCACUGAAAACAACAGGAACGCAACGCUACGAGCUAUGAUUCGCUAUUCGGCUUUCCUUAUUCCUUAGCCUUUGCCGAUCUCGAAGCUAAUAAUAACUACUUUUAUCUAUUCCCACUCAGAUCUAAUAAGAUCGGACUUUCACUGCCGUUAUUCGCUUUCGCUUCCUUUCUACUGUUCCAUGGCCAUAAUACAGCUGAACUUGCGUAACGGAUGAUAGAUAGUUGAUACAACGAGAAAAUAGGAUAGACCCAGAGAUCUAAGGCAAUAAUAGGCGAAGGCAGCUAGUAAUAAAGACAGGAAGAGGCAACAAGAAAAUAGAGACAACAUAGUUUUUCAAUCAAACUCAAACGGUAGUUGAUGCGCACACUCUGUAGCUGAUGCUCUGAUAUGUAUAGAUUUAUGAGACUGAAAUCUCGCUCAUAGCUGGCGUAUAAUUUUCACCGCAAUCUUAGAUCUCCUUUUUUUGACGCCUUAUUUCAGAAUGCAAACUUCUUUCAUAUCUCGUUUCCCUCCCUCGUUCUAGUUAACAUCUCACGAUAUCGCCUUCAGACAAUUCAACAACAAUAGCCCUCCGAGCAAACUAUGGGACUGCUAAUAAGCAUCAAUGUUGCAUAGCAGAUGUAACAAUUAUGCAAUGAUAUAGUGGAGUCG
rnacentral:sRNA from 1 species